CGGGGUCGGGCCGCCAGCUCCCUGGCUUGCUGUAGGGCUAAUCUAAUGGAGGGUCAUCCAGGAAUUGGGCUGUUCAUCAUUUUGUCCCCAGGCAGAGACAGAUCCAGUACAGGACAACCAAGACAUGCCCCAGAUGCUGAUAUCCUACAAGAUGUGAAAACUAAGAGAGUUUAAGUGACCUGCCCAGGGCCACACGGCUAGUGGUAUGAGCUGAUACUCCAGCCUGGCUCUCCUACCUCUCCGCUCCAUGCUGUCUUUCUACAUAUGGCACCGGGACCCAAAGGAUACAUGGGGCUCAGAAGAAAUAUCCAGGACUGAUGUGAGCAAGGGCUUUUCAUGAAGCCACCAAAGCCAGCCAUUGCUUAAGGUUGAGCAUCCAACUUGGAGCUGUCAUUCUUGGAAGGAAACCAAGCCACUGGGAGGUGACCAAAAGGCAUUCCCAAGAUGAUUGUAUCCAGCCUCAGAAGCAACCUUGGGAACUCAAGAGUUCUGGAGAUCCUGGGUCCUUUGUUUGGAGCUGACUUGCAGCUGAGGGGAGUUUCUGCAUCAGAGGGGAUAACUACCAAUGAGGCAAAACCAUUUUAGAGAAAGCUUGGCAAGGUAUCCAACUUAGCAAAGUCAUCUGAAGGGCUUUUGAGGAUGAAAAUGGAAAGAGGAUGACAAAGAGAAGAAAAAUGGAAAAGAUUUGCAAAAACGUUGCAACAAACUGUUUUCUCCUUUAAGGACUGUGGAACCACCAUACUUAGACCGUGAUGUUAGAGUCCCUGAGAUAAUUAGACAGGAUGUAGAAAUGGCACCAAAGAAAACAAAAAUGAGGAAAACAUGCUUGUUUGGAUCAAGUCUAUAUGUACAAGAGAUCUGUGCCAGAGGUGAUAGAAUUUUGAUGUCACAGAGAGACUAAUACGCAAGGUCCUAAAGGAGAAGAAUAUACCAAAGGCAUGGAAAAAAAGAUCUCAGAACUCAUUGAUGCCAAAAAAAUGAUGACCGAAAGAGCAUCAAAAAUACUAACCUAUCUGCCUAAUCUCCCAUCUAUCCAAAAUCUUUAUGAGGGUCAUCUAUACACAAAUUGAGGGCAUCCUUUAUGAAGCUAUUAGUCAUGAACAAGAAGGCUUUUGCAAAUGAUAUUCAACAAUGGACCACAUCUUCAUCAUGUUAUAGUUGACUGAAUGAUGUAGAGAACAUAAGCUCCUACUGAGAUUUUUGGUUGGAUAUUUUGAAAAUAAAGAAACACUAGGUUCUUUUACAACAAAGUGUUUCUCAUCCAUAUAUCAUCAUCUUUCAGAAUUCCUCGGAAGAUGUAACAAUAGGAAUGACCUUGUUCAAUGAUCCUCUAAUAAUAAAUGUCAGGAGAGACAUAAAACAGGGUUACCGUGGGGACUGCAAUGAUAGAGGACACCUGGCACAGAGUUCAGGAAGGAUUCUCUGGGGAUGGUGAGGUCCUCCAGAUGUUCCACUUUGUGAAUGACAUUAUAUGGAUUGUACUCGAGCACCCAUCACAGAGCCUCCUGCAAUAAUCUGUACUCAAUGUAGAGAGUUUGGCCUGUCCAUCCACACAGGAAAGAUCAAGUAAAUGAAGAAUGUCUACCUAAUACUCACAUUUCAACCUAUGAGUGGACGUCCUAUAGAGAUUGUCCAAUAGUAUGUGUAUCUUGGACAGACAAUACAAUGAGCUGGGCCCAGAGUUGAAAAUGAGGAGAGUGGGCUGAAUUGCUUUAGGGAAAUUGCAUGGUUCUUUUGCUGAUCCCAAGCCUCCCAUGAAAUCAAAGGCCCAUCUUUUCAAUACGAACAUUUUCCUGGUCUCGCCAUAUGCCAGCAAUGGAACAUCACAGCCGUCUAAGAACUAAAGUUGAGCAUCAUCCAGAGAGGGUGGUAAAGAGGCACGUGCUUUUGAGCAGGCUGGAACAUAUAACCAAGGAGAAACUCUGAAGAACAAGAAUGAAGGAGGUCGUCAGGGAACUGUAUGCCAGAAAGAGAAGAUGAGCUGGUCCUGUGGCAAGAGCAAGAGAUGAUGAGUGGAUGUAUAAAAACCUCUACUAGCACCCUUGUGAUGUUGGAAGAAAGCAAGGAAGGCCUGUAACAUGUUGGGUGGACCCCUCAUGUCAAAACACUGGGAGGACAUGGAUGAGAGUUGUGUAGGAUAGGUUGCUAUCCACAUCAUGAGAAGGAAUUCCUGAAUCAAUGAAAUCACAGAUCUAUUUGUGUAUUUGAGUGCAAAUAAUUGAUCGAAGGAUGCAUCAACAGUCCCUUACCAACUAAAAUUCCUAGUUCUCUAGACCAAAAAAACCCCACAAAAACAACAAACCCUGGGAGUUCUAGGCCCUAUCCAGGCACUACUAGAGAAUUCUAGAAUUCUAAACAAUUUCCUUUGACCACGAAGCUUGUCUUAGUUACCAAUCAAGAAUAGAGUGACUAUCUAAUGGAAAGGGUAAACAAGUUAAAGAUAUAUUGGUAGUGAUGGAUCAUGACAAGUCAAGGACUCUAGGACAUGAAAAAGGUAUUUUAAUCACAGAGACUCCAAAUAAUAUUAAAUUAUGAGGAUGGUCUGAAUAGUAUCUGGUCACCUUCCAGAGUGCCUGGAAUUUCCUGGUGCCUUGUAGCAAAUGCCGAUAUUGGCACUCCGGUAUUUUACCUUGAUCCACACCUAGCGGCAUAUUAAAUCAGCUAAAAAGCAUUAGGGUCUUUUAAGUUCUAAUUUACUUAGAAGUUUGAGACUUGAAACACUUUGUUUCUUCACGUGGAAGAGGAAAUAGACUCUUUCUAGUUAGUCCCAGAGGAUUGGACCAGGAGUGGAUGUUGCUAAGAGGCAGAUUUAGGCUGGAAAAUCAGAGAAAGUACCUCCCAGUGAGAGCUGUCCCCAGAAGGAUGGACCUCCCCUGGACAUUGCAGGUUCUUUGUCCCUUAAGGUCCCCAAGCCAAGGCUAGAUGAGCACCGGUCUGGGGCACUGUACAGAGGAUCGUUGUUCAGCAUGGUUGGACUAGAUGGUCCUAUGCACUCUGAGAUUCAAUGACCUGAAAGUUCAUUUGAUCCAGGCCGAUGGAGCAAUCUCUUGGGUGGUCCCUGAUGCUGCAUGAAAUGCCUCUCAUUCUGGGCAGUGGACAUCUGUUUGAAAUUCUCCUCCAAGUCCUUGUCUCCUCAGAUGCUGGGGAGCAGGGACGUUUUGUUCAGUUACUCAGCAACGCAACAAAUAUUUGGGCCAGCCGGGCCUGUUUACACUCCAGUCAGCUUAUCAGACUCUUUAGACAUGAGGCAACUUUUCUUAUUUUUCUUGUCCUUUUUUUUUUUUUAAUCUGGGAGCUUAGCAAAAAUAGCCCAAUGUGGGAGUGGGAGGGAGAAAGGGUUUAGCAACUUGGCUGAACCCUUCUAGGACAUGUUAGUUGAAAGAAUUACUAUUUACGGCCCUAAGUGGGUGAGGACGGCAGGAAUGUCACUUGCAGGGGUGGAGAGAAGGUUGUCUUGACGGAUGAUGGUUUCUUUCAGGCUUCCCGGGUGUUCCAAAAGAAAGAUUGAAGGCAGUCUGAAAAACCUCAGGGGUAGAAGAUCUUCAGGAACACUUGAGUGGUGGAGUCGGAGUGUGUGUGUGAAUGUGUGUGUGUGUGUGUGUGUAUGUGUGUGUAUACAUGCGUGCACACAUGCUCGUGCACGUGCACGCCAGGGAAGGGUUGCUUACACGUAGUGACCAGUAUUCAGCUAUACCUUGGUCCUAGACCCCACCUUUCUUCCCCUCAGGCCCCACUUACAAAUUUAAGCUUUUCCCAGUCCUUCUUCCCCUCCCCUAGAAUUGGAUGGAAGGCCAGUGAGAGUUCAAGCUAACGUGAAAUGCUUGCAUAUAGUGGGUAGGACGCUGGGCCAGAAGACAGAUGAAAUGAUAGAACAGAAAGAGAACAUUGUUUCCAGUCCCAGCUCUGCUACAUCUUACCAGUGUAAACCUUGACAAGUUGCUUUAUCUCUCUGGGCACCAGAUUGCCCGCCCAUCUGUGAGAUGAUGGUUGGGCAAAGGCAGGGCUCCUGUACCUUUUCUGAGCUAUGCGGUAGUCUUCGGGAGCCUAUGCAUAGAUAUCUCCUCAGAACCGUGUUUUUAAAUGCAUAAAAUACAAAAGAUUACAAAAGAAACCAAUCAUAUUGAAAUACUGCCAUCAAAAUAUUUUUUAAAAAAGUCCCCGACUCUGGGUUAAGAAUCUCUGCAUGAGAUCAUCUCUAAGGUGUCCUGCAGCUCUGAAUCCUGGGGUUUCUACUUCAGAGUUGUGAUUUUUGUUUUUGUGGCUGGGUGUGUGAUUUCACUGGCAGUGCAGGUGGUGAAAGCCUUUUACUAAUGAGGACCCACAACUCGUUUAGAGAGUUGUCAUGUCCCUAAGAGACUGACUGAUCCCCACAGGGUCACGUGGCUAAUAUGUGUCAGAGGCAGACCUUGAACCCAGACCUUCCUGACAUCAAGACAAGCUCUCUAUCCACUCCACCAAGAUAUGCCUUUAAAUGUCAGCUUCCUUAGCUCUGGGUAAAUUGUUUUAUGUGACUUCAUAUGUAUAAUGGGUAUAGUAUUUGUUGCCUUCU